GACGAACGCUGGCGGCGUGCUUAACACAUGCAAGUCGAACGAAGUGGCGAACGGGUGAGUAACGCGUAAUCAACCUGCCCUUCAGAGGGGGACAACAGUUGGAAACGACUGCUACUACCGCAUACUGAAGGAGGGGAUUGCGUCUGAUUAGCUAGUUGGGGGGGUAACGGCCCACCAAGGCGAUGAUCAGUAGUCGGUCUGAAAGGAUGAACGGGCACAGUGGGACCGGGGCACGGCCCAGACUCCUACGGGAGGCAGCAGUGGGGAAACUUCCGCAAUGGACGAAAGUCUGACGGAGCAACUCCGCGUGAGUGAUGACGGCCUUCGGGUUGUAAAGCUCUGUUAAUCGGGACGCGGUACCGGAAUAGAAAGCCACGGCUAACUCCGUGCCAGCAGCCGCGGUAAUUC
rnacentral:rRNA from 1 species